GAUGAAGAACGUAGCGAAAUGCGAUAAGUAAUGUGAAUUGCAGAAUUCAGUGAAUCAUCGAAUCUUUGAACGCACAUUGCGCCCGCCAGUAUUCUGGCGGGCAUGCCUGUUCGAGCGUCAUUACAACCCUCAGGCCCCCGGGCCUGGCGUUGGGGAUCGGCGGAGCCCCCCGUGGGCACACGCCGUCCCCCAAAUGCAGUGGCGGUCCCGCCGCAGCUUCCAUCGCGUAGUAGCUAACACCUCGCGACUGGAGAGCGGCGCGGCCACGCCGUAAAACACCCAACUCUUCUGAAGUUGACCUCGAAUCAGGUAGGAAUACCCGCUGAACUUAAGCAUAUUAAUAAGCGGAGGA
rnacentral:misc_RNA from 1 species